AUGGUGAAUUUUCUGACUGCAGGGAUGGCAGGCUCCCAGCCCACCGACACCGAAUCGUUCGAGUACAUGCUGCUGGAGAAGGACCCCGAUCACUACCGGACGGUCUUCUCCGGCCCGAGCCAGAUAAGCCCGUGGAUCGACCCGGCGGUGCUGAAUCUGAAGCACCGGAUAGGGAGAGGCCCCUUCGGGGAUGUGUGGAUAGCGACACACCACCAGAGGACGGAGGAUUAUGACCGGUACCACGAGGUCGCCGUGAAGAUGCUGCACCCGGUCAGGGACGACCAGCUGCAGGUGUUCUCGGCGAGGUUCGACGAGGUGUUUGGCAAAUGCCAGGGCCUGGGCAAUGUCUGCUUCCUACAUGGCAUCUCGACGCAGAAUGGGAGGCUUUGCAUAGUGAUGAAGUUCUAUGAAGGAUCCGUCGGGGACAAGAUGGCUCGGCUUAAAGGUGGAAGGCUCCCUUUGUCAGAUGUUUUAAGAUAUGGCGCUGAUUUGGCACGUGGUGUGCUGGACCUACACUCCAGGGGAAUAUUUGUUCUUAAUCUCAAGCCUUGUAAUUUUCUCCUUGAUGAUCAUGACCAUGCUGUGUUGGGGGAUUUUGGGAUUCCAUCCUUGCUGUUUGGGCUGUCGCUGCCAAACCCAGAGCUUAUCCAAAGACUUGGGACUCCAAAUUACAUGGCCCCAGAGCAAUGGCAACCAAACAUCAGAGGUCCAAUUAGUUACGAGACAGAUUCAUGGGGCUUUGCCUGCAGCAUUCUUGAGAUGUUCAGUGGCGUUCAGCCUUGGCGUGGCAAAUCACCAGACGAGAUUUAUCAGUUGGUUGUCCUGAAGAAAGAGAAACCGAUAUUCCCGUACAAUUUACCUGCAGAGGUUGAGAAUGUCCUUUCUAGCUGCUUUGAGUACGACUUUCGGGAUCGCCCCUUGAUGUCAGAUAUCUUACAAGCAUUUGAAAGUGCUAAAGAUGUGGAUUAUGACAACAAUGGCUGGGAUAGUUCUGAAAACCCAAGGGCAGUAGUGCCAAGUCACACUAAUUGGUCACACUUCAAGGAUAAGCUGCAAGUUGGUGACAAGGUCCGCUCGAGAAAGGUUAAAAACUCUUGUACUCCUGAAACAAUGGAAAUCCCUGAUGGAACCAUAGUUGGCAUGGAGGAUGGAGAACGCGAUAGCUACAUUCUUGUACGAGUCCAUGGAAUACAUGACCCUCUGAAGGUCCGUUCCUCAGCAGUGGAGAGGGUGACCUAUGGUUUCGCUGCCGGAGACUGGGUAAGGCUUAGGGAGGAAGACAAGAAGCGGUCUCAGGUCGGAAUUCUUCAUAGCAUUGACCGUAAUGGCACCGUGUAUGUUGGUUUGAUAGGAAUGGACACCCUGUGGAAGGGGGAAUAUUCAGAUCUGCAAAUGGCCGAAGCCUACUGCAUGGGACAAUUUGUGAGGCUCAGAACUAACACUUCAAGCCCCCGGUUUGAAUGGCCGCGAAAGAGAGGCGGAGUGUUCGCCAUAGGCCGUAUUUCACAGAUACUCUCGAAUGGAUGCCUUGCUGUGACCUUCCCUGGCAAAUUCAGCCUUGGCGAAGUGUGCAGCUGCUUGGCCGACCCUUCAGAGGUGGAGGUGGUGAGCUUCGACAAGUGCGAGGGCGUUGUGAAGAAGUAUGAGCACCUCGAGGACUUCCAUUGGGCGGUGAGGCCUCUGUUCAUUGCCAUAGGUUUCUUUACUGCUAUGAAGCUAGGUGUCUUUGUUGGGAAGAGCAUCACAAGGCCAAGGAGUCGAAAGGUCGCCAGCGUCUCUGAUCAGGGUGCCGAUCCUCAGAAAGUUCAGCAGCAAGAAGUGCACAACAGUGUCAGCACGGCAUGGCUCCCUCCACCCGUCGCAAACAUGCUUUUCGGGGACGGUCCUGCGCCUUCCGGGUAA
rnacentral:rRNA from 1 species